ensembl:lncRNA
CAACAACAACAGCAACUCCCACAACUACAUCGUCUGGUCCAACAAGUACCACAGAGAUCCCAACAACUGUUCCCACAACCACAACUGCAGGUCCAACAACUACCACAGCAGUUCCAACAACUACAACUUCAAGUCCAACAACCACCACAGCAGGUCCCACAACAACUUCAGCAACUCCCACACCUACAUCGUCUGGUCCAACAAGUACCACAGAGAUUCCAACAACCACAACAACUGCUCCCACAACCACAACUGCAGGUCCAACAACUACCACAGCAGUUCCAACAACUAUAACUUCAAGUCCAACAACUACAACAGCAGGUCCCAAAACGACAACAGCUCUUCAAACCACCACAACUGCAGGUCCAACAACUACCACAGCAGCUCCCACAACAACAACAGCUCUUCAAACCACCACAACUGCAGGUCCAACAACUACCACAGACGGUCCUACAACAACAACAGCAGCUCAACCCACCACAACUGCAGGUCCAACAAAUACCACAGCAGUUCCAACAACUACAACAUCAAGUCCAACAACAACCACAGCAGGUCUCACAACAACAACAGCAACUCCCACAUCUACAUCGUCUGGUCCAACAAGUACCACAGAGAUUCCAACAACCACAACAACUGCUCCCACAAUCACAACUGCAGGUCCAACAACUACCACAGCAGUUCCAACAACUACAACUUCAAGUCCAACAACAACUUUAGCAACUCCCUCACCAACAUCGUCUGGUCCAACAAGUACCACAGAGAUUCCAACAUCCACAACAACUGCUCCCACAACCACAACUGCAGUUCCAACAACUACAACUUCAAGUCCAACAACUACCACAGCAGGUCCCACAACAACAACAGCAACUCCCACAACUACAUCGUCUGGUCCAACAAGUACCACAGAGAUCCCAACAACGGUUCCCACAACCACAACUGCAGGUCCAACAACUACCACAGCAGUUCCAACAACUACAACUUCAAGUCCAACAACUACCACAGCAGGUCCCACUAGAACUUCAGCAACUCCCACAACUACAUCGUCUGGUCCAACAAGUACCACAGAGAUUCCAACAACCACAACAACUGUUCCCACAACCACAACUGCAGGUCCAACAACUACCACAGCAGUUCCAACAACUACAACUUCAAGUCCAACAACUACCACAGCAGGUCCCAAAACGACAACAGCUCUUCAAACCACCACAACUGCAGGUCCAACAACUACCACAGCAGGUCCUACAACAACAACAGCAGAUCAACCCAUCACAACUGCAGGUCCAUCAACUACCACAGCAGUUCCAACAACUACAACUUUAAGUCAAACAACUACCACAGCAGGUCCCACAACAACAACAGCAACUACCACAACUACAUUGUCUGGUCCAACAAGUACCACAGAGAUUCCAACAACGACAACAACUGCUCCCACAACCACAACUGCAGGUCCAACAACUACCACAGCAGUUCCAACAACUACAACUUCAAUUCCAACAACUACCACAGCAGGUCCCACAACGACAACAGCUAUUCAAACCACCACAACUGCAGGUCCAACAACUACCAUAGACGGUCCUACAACAACAACAGCAGCUCAACCCACCACAACUGCAGGUCCAUCAACUACCACAGCAGUUCCAACAACUACAACUUCAAGUCCAACAACUACCACAGAUGGUCCUACAACAACAACAGCAGCAGCUCAACCCACCACAACUGCAGGUCCAACAACUACCACAGCAGUUCCAACAACUACAACCUCAAGUCCAACAACUACCACAGCAGGUCCCACCACAACAACAGCAACUCCCACAACUACAUCGUCUGGUCCAACAAGAACCACAGAGAUUCCAACAACCACAACAACUGCUCCCACAACCACAACUGCAGGUCCAACAACUACCACAGCAGUUCCAACAACUACAACUUCAAGUCCAACAACAACCACCUCAGGUCCCACAACAACAACAGCUCCUGGAACAACCACAACUGAAGGUCCAACAAUUACCACAACAGGGCCCAAAACAACAACAGCAACUCCCACAACUACAUCGUCUGGUCCAAGAAGUACCACAGAGAUUCCAACAACCACAACAACUGCUCCCACAACCACAACAGCAGGUCCAACAACUACCACAGCAGUGCCAACAGCUACAACUUCAAGUCCAACAACUACCACAGCAGGUCCCACAACGACAACAGCUCUUCAAACCACCACAACUGCAGGUCCAACAACUACCACAGAGGGUCCUACAACAACAACAGCUGCUCAACCCACCACAACUGAAGGUCCAACAACUUCUACAGCAGGUCCCACAACAACAACAGCAACUCCCCUAACUACAUCGUCUGGUCCAACAAGUACCACAGAAAUUCCAACAACCACAACAACUGCUCCAACAACCACAACUGAUGGUCCAACAACUACCACAGCAGGUCUCACAACAACAACAGCAACUUCCACGUCUACAUCGUCUGGUUCAACAAGUACCACAGAAAUUCCAACAACCACAACAACUGCUCCCACAACCACAACUGCAGGUCGAACAACUACCACAGAGAUUCCAACAACCACAACAAUUGCUCCCACAACCACAACUGCAGGUCCAACAACUACCACAGCAGUUCCAACAACUACAACUUCAAGUCCAACAAUUACCACAGCAGGUCCCACAACGACAACAGCUCCUGAAACAACCACAACUGAAGGUCCAACAACUACCACAACAGGGCCCAAACCAACAACAGCAACUCCCACAACUACAUCGUCUGGUCCAACAAGUACCACAGAGAAUACAACAACCACAACACCAGCUCAACCCACCACAACUGCAAGUCCAACAACUACCACAGCAGUUCCAACGACUACAACUUCAAGUCCAACAACUACCACAACAGGUCCCACAACAACAACAGCAACUCCAUUAACUACCACAGCAGGUCGUUCAUCAACCACAGCAACUCCCACAACUACAUCGUCUAGUCCAACAAGUAGCACGGAGAGUCCAACAACCACAACAGCUGCUCUAACAACCACAACUGCUGGUCCAACAACAACCACAGCAGGUCCCACAAAGACAACAACUCUUCAAAUCACCACAACUACAGGUCCAACAACUACCACAGCAGUUCCAACAACUACAACUUCAAGUCCAACAACUACCAUAGCAGGUCCCACAACGAGAGCAACUUCCACAACUAAAUCGUCUGGUCCAACAAUUACCACGGAGAGUCCAACAACCACAACAGUGCAAACAACAACAACGUCAGGACCAACAACUACUACAGCAGGUCCAAAAAGUGCAACAACAGCUGCUCCAACAACCAUAACUGUAGGUCCAACAACUACAACAGCUGCUCAACCCACCACAACAGCAACUCCAACAACUACCUCGUCUGGUCCAACAAGUACCACAGAAAGUCCAACAACUACCACAGCUGGUCCCACAACAACAACAGCAACUCCCCCAAGUACCACAGAGAUUCCAACAACCACUCCCACAACCACAUCUGCAGGUCCAACAACUACCACAGCAGUUCCAACAACUACAACCUCAAGUCCAACAACUACCACAGCUGGUCCUACAACGAACACAGCUCCUGAAACAACCACAACUGAUGGUCCAACAACUAUCACAGCCGGUCCCACAACAACAACAGCAACUCCCACAACUACAUCGUCUGGUCCAACAAGUACCACGGAGAGCUCAACAACCACAACAGCUGCUCCAACAACUAUAACCUCAAGUCCAACAACUACCACAGCUGGUCCUACAACGAACACAGC